rnacentral:rRNA from 1 species
GAUGAACGCUGGCGGCGUGCCUAAUACAUGCAAGUCGAGCGAACGGACGAGAAGCUUGCUUCUCUGAUGUUAGCGGCGGACGGGUGAGUAACACGUGGAUAACCUACCUAUAAGACUGGGAUAACUUCGGGAAACCGGAGCUAAUACCGGAUAAUAUUUUGAACCGCAUGGUUCAAAAGUGAAAGACGGUCUUGCUGUCACUUAUAGAUGGAUCCGCGCUGCAUUAGCUAGUUGGUAAGGUAACGGCUUACCAAGGCAACGAUGCAUAGCCGACCUGAGAGGGUGAUCGGCCACACGGGAACUGAGACACGGUCCAGACGCCUACGGGAGGCAGCAGUAGGGAAUCUGCCGCAAUGGGCGAAAGCCUGACGGAGCAACGCCGCGUGAGUGAUGAAGGUCUUCGGAUCGUAAAACUCUGUUAUUAGGGAAGAACAUAUGUGUAAGUAACUGUGCACAUCUUGACGGUACCUAAUCAGAAAGCCACGGCUAACUACGUG